GAUGAACGCUGGCGGCGUGCUUAACACAUGCAAGUCGAACGGAAAGGCUCCUGCUUUCAGGGGUACUCGAGUGGCGAACGGGUGAGUAACACGUGGGUGAUCUGCCCUGCACUUCGGGAUAAGCCUGGGAAACUGGGUCUAAUACCGGAUAGGACGAUGUUUUGCAUGCCAUUGGGUGAAGUUUUUCGGUGGGGGAUGAGCUCGCGGCCUAUCAGCUUGUUGGUGGGGUAGUGGUCUACCAAGGCGUCGACGGGUAGCCGGCCUGAGAGGGUGAACGGCCACAUUGGGACUGAGAUACGGCCCAGACUCCUACGGGAGGCAGCAGUGGGGAAUAUUGCACAAUGGGCGGAAGCCUGAUGCAGCGACGCCGCGUGGGGGAUGACGGCCUUCGGGUUGUAAACUCCUUUCGCUAGGGACGAAGCGCAAGUGACGGUAACUGGAAAAGAAGCACCGGCUAACUACGUG
rnacentral:rRNA from 1 species